UACACACCGCCCGUCACAUCACGAAAAGUCGGUUGCACUAGAAGUUGGUGGGCUAACCCGCAAGGGAGGCAGCCGCCUAAAGUGUGAUCGGUAAUUGGGGUG
rnacentral:rRNA from 1 species